UCAAUAGUGGAACACCUGGGGCGGACCUGGCUCCCAGACCGCCAGGAGAGACUUGCCAACAAGCUUGCUCAGGAUGUCUCCGUAGUGGAAAUUCUGGGACUGGGGCCUGUUUGGAAAUACCAGAGAUAACUCAGUUCGGUUCAGUUCAGUCACUCAGUCGUGUCCAACUCUUUGCGACCCCAUGAACCACAGCAUGCCAGGCCUCCCUGUCCAUCACCAACUCCCGAAGUCCACCCAAACCCAUGUCCAUUGAGUCGGUGAUGCCAUCCAACCAUCUCAUCUGGAGACCCCCCCCCCAAAAAAAAGUAGCAUCAGUGCUUCCUAUUAGAACAAGACAGAAAAGCACACAUAUCAUUUUAAAGAAGCUGAGCUUUGGACUGGUUGUGAGAGGAGAUGGUGGGGAAGAGCCCCCUUCUUACUGAGUGUAUUUUGGCUCGUUUCAUCGCUCAUAAUUGGAAAAAGCUCUGUUGCCCUCCUUCUGCCGAGGUGUUCCCUGCAUAACUUGGGUUCCAUAAAAGCACCAAAUGCACACAGUAUAAGAAAUCCUUCCGUCGCUCUAUCUUUUCAAUCACAAAGUAUGUUGAUUCAUUAAAGUCCAGACUUUCUGCUGGCACCACCUUGACCUCCACUGCCCUGCCUUGGCCUCUCACGAUCAGCUCCAUAAAAGCCACAGAAAGACUUUUUCGCACGUUGAUGUCAAGCACCCGUGCACAUGUUGGGCGGUGGUCCGCUAACAGCCCAGAGCCUCGGUCUGCCUCCACGCCAGGCUGCAGCGGCAGAGCCCGCUCCUUCGUGCUACACACCAACAUUCCUCAUAGCUGGGAGAAGUUAUCUGCAGGCCAGCCGAGAAGACAACAUCGCUCCUCUCAUACCUCCGUGGAAUGUGGCCCGUUAGAGGCUGGAAGUCCGAGAUGAAGAUGGCCUCAGGGCUGGUUCCCCGUGAGGGCUGACCAUGAUGGAAACAUCUGUUCCAGGCCUCUCUCGUUGGCGUGUCUGUAGAGAUGCUGUCAUCAAAUGUGGGCACAAUCUGAAGUGCUGCGGGUUCAAACUUCAACAUAUGAACUGGGGGAUGACACCCAAUUCAGCCUGUAGCAACAGCAGUUUCAACGGGGGCGCCUCAUCUCUAGAGGCACCACUUGGAGUGGAAGCAGCCACGUGUAACAGCAGCUGCCAAAUCACAUGGAAGGGCGGGUCUUUUAUUUGCAUGUUUUCCUUUAAGUCUGUUGUCUUCAUCAAUCAAAUUCUUAUUCAACACUAUGCUUAAGCCUCUGCCUCUCCUCGAGACUUAAUGAGUUCAAUAAGCCCAUACUAAUUCUUCAGAGUAGCACAGUUCUUAAAUGUUGUUUGGCUUAUUCAAUUGGUCCAAAGUCCAUUUUCAUGUCCUGUUGGAUUCUCCCUAGUUCCAGGGUCCUUCACUAAAAUCUGUCAAUAUUUAUUCGACUUUGAUGGUGUGCUCAUAAUCCUUUGUCUUUCCAUAAACUCAACACUUUUUAUGAAUAAUUUAAAAAUUUUGUUUCCAAUUCUUCUUCAUGACAUGCCUUCAUGGGUGAAAUACAGAAUGCUCCAUAACACGCCAUGCAUGCAAUGACUGUAGCUUAUGAAAGACUGGAUUUGUAUUAAUAUCCACCAGGUCAGAAAAUAUCUCAUGUUCUGAACAGGGAAGAAAACCCAGAGAAAUAUCACAGAGUCAAUCGACUUUAGAAACAGUAGUGAAGAUAAAAAUCCAAGAAUAACAUAGGAUAAGUUGAAAGGAAAUCGUGAAUAAUUAAUACUUCCCCAAACCUGGGAUAAGGAGAAGGAGGCGGCAGAGGAUGAGUUAAGUUAGAUAGCAUCACCCAGCUCAAUGGACAUGAAUUUGAGCAAACUCUGGAAGCUAGUGGAGGACAGAGGAGCCUGGUGUGCUACAGUCUAUGGUGUUGCAAAAAGUUAGACGCGACUUAGCGACUGAAUAACAACAACAAAGCUGGGAUGCCGUUCACUAGGUUUUGAGCUUCUUAAGAGCAGUACCACCGUCUUACACUGCUCCCUCUCUCGCUCUUUUUAAGCCUCCAUGGUGACUGACAGAAUUCUGGACAUAUAUAAGAGCUCAAUGGAUAUUUGUGUGUUAAAAGCCUUGAUCGAGGCUAAGGUUUAAAAGAGACAAUAUUAGCAUUUAUCUGUAGGAAACUCAUUACAUGCCAAAGGCAGCACAACUGGAAAAUAUAUAGAGAGUCAUAAAAGAGUUCAGAAGUGGAGGCUUUUUUCUUAAGAUAUUGUUUAAGGGGAAAAAAAAAUCCAAAACAGUCUCAUACAAGUGAGGAACUAUCUACUUGAUUUAAGAUAAUAAUUUAACCCUCCCACUUUAAACAUAAGGAGAGAGAAUAAGAAAUUGCGCACCUUAGGAGGACAUUCAUCUAGACCAAGUCCCUCAGUUUACAGAUGUAUAGAGGACUCAGCGAUAUUAACUUCUCCACGAUCAUACAGUGAGCUGGACACUUACCUGA